AUGCCCCCGCAACGCGGUGGCCGGUGCGGGGAGAAGAGGCUCAGCACAGCCCUGUCCUCUCCCCAGAGCAGCACCCCGCACGCAGCACGGGCCGGAGGGGACAGCCCCUCGCGGGAUAGACAGACGGACAGACGGACGGAGGAGCGACGCCUCCCGCAAUGCCGUUACCUUUGGGCCGCUCCUGCCAGUGAGGCCGACAAUACCCUGGGGGUCGGAGAGGGAGGACAGGGGUUAUCGGGGACCGGGGCAGCCCCGAUGCCGGGAAAGGGUGUGGGGGUGCCAGYCAAGCGCCCCGACCCCACGCCCUCGCCCCGGACUUACCCGGUCGCCCUGCUCGCCUUUGGGGCCGGCUGGGCCGGGGAUGCUCGGGCCAGGGGCGCCCUAGGCACAAGGAGAAGCAGGUUGGCGCAGCAGGAGGGGCCCGGCGGCCGGCGCAGCCCAGGGGCAGGCUGCGGCCCCGGGCCAGCCCCAGGCGAUACUCACGGGGGCUCCUUUAUCUCCCGCGCCGCCCUUGGGGCCAGGGGGCCCCUCCGGUCCCGAAAAGCCUCGGUCGCCCUGCAGCAGAUGAAACAGCCCCGUCAGCUUCCCAAUCCCCCCCACCAGCGCUCCCCUCCUUCUCCAUCCCGCGGCGGCACAGGGGAUGGCUGCGCAGUGCCGACCAACCCUUCGGCACCCCCAGCCUGUCCGGGAGCUGCCCCGUGCAGCGCCCCUUCCCGGGGUCGCAGCGUCCAGGGGUUCCCCCGUGCCCACGGAGGUGCCGGCAAGGGGCAGCACCCGGCGGGCACGGCACGGCACGGCACGGCCACGGUUACCUUCUCUCCUUUGACACCGGCUCCGCUGGAGGCCUGGGGGGAAGCAGAGGGAACACAGUGCUGCGCGCAGCUCCCUGCCCAGGGGACGYGUCCCCCCUGGCCUCCGGGGAGGCACCUACCCCCCAGCUCUGCCCCCAUUGCCCAGGGGUUGGGGGGUGCAGGUGGACCCCCCCGCCCAGGCAGGCGUCACUUACCGGCUUGCCGGGUUCGCCAGGCAUUCCCGGAUUGCCCUGUGGGAGAGAYGGGUGUCAGCACCAGCCCCUUCCCCAGAAGCCCAGCCAGACCUCCUCUCUUCUUCCUCACCUUCUCCCCUCGCGGGCCGGCCGGUCCCGGGGCUCCCUGUCACGGAGAGAAGAGACACCCCUCAGAGAGCCGGCGGUGGCUGGUCCCACAUGGGGGACCCUCACCGAGGACACCGCGGCCCCCAGGCACSGGCCCCUCUCCAAGGCGCUGGCAGGUCGUAGGACACCGGAGUUGGCAUCACCAAUGGCCAGACUCACCUCUCUGCCCGACAGCCCUGGGCGCCCCGGGGACCCUGCUUCACCCUGGCAGAGGAGAGGAAGAGGAAGGCGUCAGAGGCGUCACCUCACCCCACGCCAGGGACGGCUGGUCCUAG
rnacentral:lncRNA from 1 species